AAUCAACGCUGGCGGCGUGCCUAACACAUGCAAGUCGAACGAGAAAGAGGGAGCAAUCCCUUGAGUAAAGUGGCGACCGGGUGAGUAACACGUGACUAACCUACCCUCGAGUGUGGAAUAACAUCGGGAAACCGAUGCUAAUACCGCAUAACAUCGCAAGAUCAAAGGAGCAAUCCGCUUGAGGAGGGGGUCGCGGCUGAUUAGCUAGUUGGCGGGGUAACGGCCCACCAAGGCGAAGAUCGGUAGCCGGCCUGAGAGGGCGCACGGCCACACUGGA
rnacentral:rRNA from 1 species